AGCAAAAAUACAUGUGCAACCAAUAUCAUUAAUACACUGAGAUGUUGAAGCUAGUUAUUUCUUCUACUAAAAGGAACAAUACUUGAAAAUUACCAAAAGGAAACAAAGGUCGAAUUCUAAGUCAUCCAAAUAGAACAGAACACAAAGACAUUAUACAAUGUGUUCCCUUCCACCCACCGUGCCUUUCACUAGUGAGAACGCCAACUGCUCUCUUUAGAGUGAAGAAUGGGCCUCGUGUCACACUGAGUGGAGAAGCUGCUGGAUGUGGCCCUGGAACGUGCACUAGUAUAUACCCCUCACCCUUCACUGACCCUGGCUGCAUCUCCUGCUGAAACUCUCUCUUCCUCCUCUCUCAAAUCCUCUUCAUACAGGAAUGGGUAUGAAGUGGGUUCUCUUCCACUGAUCUUGGUCACGUACUCCAAGACUUUCUUCUUGCUGGUUUCAGCAUGGGCCCUUGGACCCCACAGGAACGCAUAGCAUGCAGGAUCACUUCUGGGCACCUGCCAGUACUCCAGUGCUCCUCUAGGGCCUCCUUGGGUUCCUGUCCUCCUGGUCAGCCUGUCCCCUGAGAAUCUGAAGAGAAGUGAGACAGCUCCUGAGGUUACAGCCAGCCAGCAGAGGCCAAGGCUCCAACACUGAUGCAGGGCCUGAAUCCUGCCCCUUUGCUGGCCUGAGAAAAUCUCAGAUCAAGAGCUCAUAUUCCUGAUAUGGAACAGAAGGGCAUGAGGGGACCCACAUCUGGCCACACCUGCUCAAGGCUUCACAGCAAGGACAGUAAGAGGUGGCCAUAUUCAGGGUGGAAGUUCCAAAGUCCUCCUGUGGGUUAUUCAUCUUUACUCCUGCCGGGACCUGCCGGUCCUCAACCCUCAGCCCCGUGAGGUGAGCAGACAUCUCCCCUUUACACAUCUCCCUGAGGGUUCUCUAAC
rnacentral:lncRNA from 10 species